rnacentral:rRNA from 1 species
UACGUAGGGGGCAAGCGUUGUCCGGAUUUAUUGGGCGUAAAGAGCGUGUAGGCGGCCAGACAGGUCCGUUGUGAAAACUCGAGGCUUAACCUCGAGAUGUCGGUGGAAACCAUCUGGCUAGAGUCCGGAAGAGGAGAGUGGAAUUCCUGGUGUAGCGGUGAAAUGCGCAGAUAUCAGGAAGAACACCCGUGGCGAAGGCGGCUCUCUGGGACGGUACUGACGCUGAGACGCGAAAGCGUGGGGAGCGAACAGG